rnacentral:rRNA from 1 species
UAAGCCUGUGAAGGUGGCCUGUGAGGGUUGCUGGAGGUAUCAGAAGUGCGAAUGCUGACAUAAGUAACGAUAAAGCGGGUGAAAAGCCCGCUCGCCGGAAGACCAAGGGUUCCUGUCCAACGUUAAUCGGGGCAGGGUGAGUCGACCCCUAAGGCGAGGCCGAAAGGCGUAGUCGAUGGGAAACGGGUUAAUAUUCCCGUACUUGGUGUUACUGCGAAGGGGGGACGGAGAAGGCUAUGUUGGCCGGGCGACGGUUGUCCCGGUUUAAGCGUGUAGGUGUGUGUUCCAGGUAAAUCCGGUUCACUUUAACACUGAGGCGUGACGACGAGGCACUACGGUGCUGAAGCAACAAAUGCCCUGCUUCCAGGAAAAGCCUCUAAGCAUCAGGUAACAUCAAAUCGUACCCCAAACCGACACAGGUGGUCAGGUAGAGAAUACCAAGGCGCUUGAGAGAACUCGGGUGAAGGAACUAGGCAAAAUGGUGCCGUAACUUCGGGAGAAGGCACGCUGACAUGUAGGUGAAGUGA